CGAGCCGGCCGGAUGGCCGCGGCACGGGGACCAGCGCGGAUGCGUCCAGGCCCGGCGCCGAGGAAAGUCCGGACUCCGGAGGGCACGGUGGUUGCUAACGGCAACCCGGGGCGACCCGCGGGACAGUGCCACAGAAAACAAACCGCCCGGCCUCGGCCGGGUAAGGGUGAAACGGUGCGGUAAGAGCGCACCAGCGCCACGGGUGACCGCGGCGGCUAGGUAAACCCCACCGGGAGCAAGGCGAAGAACGCCCACCCGCAUGGCGACAUGCCGGUGCGCGUGCGCGGACGUUCGAGGGCUGCCCGCCCGAGUCCGCAGGUACGCCGCUUCAGGCGCCCAGCGAUGGUGCGUCGAGAUGGAUGGUCAUCGCCCCGCGUGCGCGAAAGCGGCGAGGGGAACAGAAUCCGGCUCACAGGCCGGCUCGUUCA
rnacentral:RNase_P_RNA from 1 species